UGUUCUUUUACUGAACUAAAUGAUUUUUAUUAGGCUACUACAAUAAAUCAAAACGACGGUGGGGGUCGGUGCCGCGGUGGGCAAGUGAUGUAACCGGUGUUGCGGCUUAACACCGGUAUCACCGUCAACACCGUCUAUCGCGGCAAGCCUUGUGUAUAAGUCUACUUUUGCUUAUAUUUCUUAUGGCUGAGAAAAUACUCUGCUCCAACAAGUUGAUCAGGUGAUCCCUCAGAAUGUGCAUACACACUCCCCCUCACACACCUAGUGCAUCACACCAAUGUUCAUAGGGAGUUUUGGCAUUCAGAGCACUCUGCCAUUCCCUUGAUCUCAGACACACACACUUUGGUAAGGUUCCAAAGUUUACUUCAGUUUGUGCAGUGGUGGAUAGGAGGACAGAGUUCAACUCUUUCCUUUCCCACCCUCUCUCAUUUUUCUUCCUUCGGUCCGUCUCUGUCCACUCCAAAGUCACAGUUAACUUAUACACUGCCUGUGGAUCUUCAUCUAAGUUUCAUUUUUCUGUAGGUGAGAGAACAAUGAGAAAGCAUUUGCAGUUAAUUUGGUUUAUCAUGCAUCGUGGAGUAUGUGCAUCAAGGCAGAGGUCGGUGGUACUAAGUGAAGGGCUGUGUAAAAGAGGGUUGUAGAGACGAACCCGCUGUGGUGAGUUAAACUUUCAUGAUAUUAAGUUUGAUAACUGAAAUUAUAUGUUGGAACAUA
rnacentral:lncRNA from 1 species